CUGCUGCUUCCUUGUUGGGUUCUUGCACAGCUUUGAGCAACAUUUUGUUGUGAUCUUUGGAGAUCACGUUCAAAAGGCCAAUGCAGUUCGUACGGCAAAAUAUCACAUUUAACACAGGGAAACACCCAAUUGGCUGUAAUAACCCAACUGCUACCUUUUUUAUCCCUAAGCUGUGAAUGCGUUUAAGAUUUACAGACAUUUGCUUCACAAGGGAUUCCAUGAAGCCUGGGAGGUGAUAACGACAAGCGCAGAGAGACACUUGACAAGGAAGAUAAAUUAAAAAAGGGAAAAUUGAAUGAGAAAAGAGAUGUCAAUUGGUUGUGCUUGUGCGUGAGCUGAUGAAAGUUGUGUUCAUUAACAGAUAUAUGAUUUUACUAGAGACUGAAUGGCUGAUAGUAGCACACAAAUGGUGGAAGUGGCACCUGAGAUGACAUAUAGAAUCCAUAAACUUCUCAGCUUCAAACUGUCCGUAUCAUCGGAGGUCACGUUGGAGCAUGAUGCCGGUGAGGUAAUCAACCACUUCUCUUCCAAUCUCUUCAGCUCUGCUUUUUCUGAGAGAUGUAAUAUAGCUUUUGACACGUCUCUGGCCACUGGCGAGCCUUUCUGGAACAUCUGCAUUAGAUUAUUUGAAAAUUCUGUCAUAACUUAAUGAGUAAUACUAAACUCCAUAAACAUUUUGUAUUCAUCCAUCCGAGUA